AUUCCACUUGGGACAGGAAAUGACCUCGCUAGAUCAUUUGGAUGGCUGUAAAGCGAUAUCUCAAGAAGGCCGUUUCUGCUUCGGCCGUCCAUCUUGAUAGGUACUCAACCUAUUGAUGCACAUGGACGUGAUGACUCUAGC